rnacentral:lncRNA from 1 species
UUUUUUUUAGUUCCGACCACCUUUCGUAAUGCCUCUUUCGUGAAUAUUAUCGAUCUUCCUCCGCGCGGUUGUGGAGUGGUGUGCUCCUCUUGUGGCGUAGUUUGUAGAGGCGUCGUAGUUUCUUGCGUUGGUAGUUAAGCAGGCGGUGCGGCUCUAGAAGAUGACGCUCCAGAAGUAUAAAUGUUCUGCGCUGCAUCGUUGUUGAAGAUUGGCGGAAACUCCGGUAAGCGCAAGUUCGGAUUUUGAGCGAGCAUUGCGGUGUUGUAUUGUUGGAAAAACGCCAUUUGACGAGCCAUCGCUUCAUUCUGACGAGUCAUCGCCUCAUUCUGACGAGCCAUCGCU